rnacentral:lncRNA from 1 species
UAGCAAUAAUAGUCAUGACCUUGGUUUCAGUGUGCCAUGCCCAUCAGGGAGACCAAUAACCAGUGCCUAAUUACAGAUAAGUCUUAGUAAACCUGAGUUCUAUACCCAAAGCAUUGUGUAAGUUCUUUUAGCCAUUUUAUUUUUUAAUCUACUCUUGACAACCUUGGAAAGCAGAUGCUAUUAUCAUUCUGAUAUUCUAAAUAAAUAAACUGAGGCAUAGAUUAUAUUUGUCUCAUAAAUUUUGGAGCUCAGAUUUGACUUGAGGACAGUUUGACCCAGACAGAAUUCAUGUUUUUAACUACUCCAUUUUACUAUAUGUAAGACUUUGCCCAACCCUAUUUUAAUCUGCUUCAUAUUUUUAGUUGUGUUAUAGUCCUUACUUACUUUCAAAUUUCUCAAAGGAACUAGUAAUAUUUAGUCAUUGUUCUUGAAAUUGAAUGUGCAAAUAGGAGACAGUCCCAUGCAUUUGCUUUCCACUUUUAAGUGCUUAUCACCUUCUUUCUAUAUUAUGAGCUUGAUAAAAAAUUAAUACAAUAUCAAUUUGCAGAUGCUAUUACAGUCAGGUCAAACAUCAUUGUAAGACAACCACAAUCAAACCUCAUCCCAUAAUUAUAGAUCUAAGUGAUAAAUGUAGUGAUCUAGGAGUCAGGAACAGUGGGUGCUAGCAACAAACAAAGGCUCCUGAAGAGAAGGUUUAUGCUGAAUCAUCAAUUCAAUUCGGAUUUUCAAACAAAAAUCUGUUAUUCAUAAAUUUUUCUACUUAAAAGCUCACUUCUUCCUAAAUACAUUUCUGAUCAUAAAUUUCAUAGUGAUCACAGCUUUCCAGAUAGGUCAGUUCUGAUCAUUAUUAAAGGAGGGCAGGGAGGGAGAGAAAGAGAAAGAGAAUGAGAAAGACAAAGGGAGAGAAUAACAUGUUUAAUAAACUACCUCCAGAGAAUUUCCAGUUUUCCUGGGUGAACCAAAACUGUCCACACAAAUAUCUGUUUCCUUAGUGCUUUCUCAACUGUUUUUCUUUGGCUUCCUACGUUUACUAAAGAAUACCUGAGUUCGGCAAGAAUGUAGGAUCAUUUUGAUUCAAGAAAUUUAAUCCCUUUAUUUGUGCUCCCUUGAAAUUUGGCGAAUGACAUUCCUGGAACCUAUGUGGAAUCUUUAAUCAAGGGGCCAGACUUAUUCUCCCCCUUAAAAGAAAUGGGAAUGAGGGCUGUGGCUUUGCCUACAUGUAGCAAAAGGAUAAAUCACUAGGAAGUAUAAGGUUCAGUAUAGUAUGUAUUCUUUGCAAUUUAGAUGUAAGAAAAAAUGAAAGAUUAUAUUUUGUUUGGGGGGAGAAAAAUAGUUUCUUAGGGAAGACCAAAAUACACUAGUGAAUUUUAAAAAAGGAUUGAGAAAUAUGGCUGCAUUAAGAUGAAGACCAUCUGGAUUCAUCAAAAAAACACCAUAAACACUACAGAAAGAGAAGAUACAAAAUGGAAGAAUAUUUGUAGCACAUAUACUAAACACCGAGUUACCAGAAUAUAAUGAAUUUCCACAAAUCAAUAAAAAAAGAAAGCAACCUAAAGACAAAAUUAGUGAAAGACUAAAACAAGCAUUUCACAGACAAGGUAAAGAUGCUCACCCUCAUUAAUAAUUCAGGAAGGGCAUAUGAAACUACAGUAGAAUACCAGUUUCUGACCACCAGGCUGGCAGAAGUUAACAAGUUGGAGAAAGCCAAAUUUUGGCAAGGAUCGGGAACACAGGAAUUUUAAUUUUGCUGAUGGGAGUAUAAAAUAUUAGACCACUCUCUUAAACAACUUGGCAUUUAUUUUACAAAGCUGAAUUAAUGCAAACCCUAGAAUCAGAACACAGGAAUUAUAAUUUUGCUGAUGGGAGUAUAAAAUAUUAGACCACUCUCUUAAACAACUUGGCAUUUAUCUUACAAAGCUGAAUUAAUGCAAAACCUAUGACUCAGCAUUUCUAUUCCCAGGAAUAUACUUGGAAAUGUUGCUUAUGUUCUAGGAGACAUACCCAAGAAUGUUUAUAACAAUAUUAUUCAAUAAAAAAUAUACUGGAAUUAAUUCAAAUAUCUGUUAUUCAUAGAAUACAUUAACAGAUUAUAAUGUAGUCAUCCCAUGAAAGAGUAUGUUGCAGUGGAAAUUAAUUCAUCACAGCUUCUGGCAACAUAGAGGAAUCCUAAAAACAGAAUUAGAGUUAAAAACAAAAAGCUUCCUAGGAGUUCCCAUUGUGGCGCAGUGGAAACAAAUCCGACUAGGAACCAUGAGGUUGCAGGUUCAAUCCCUGGCUUUGCUCAGUGGGUUAAGGAUCCGGUGUUGCCGUGAGCUGUGGUGUAGGUCGCAGACGUGGCUUGGAUCGGGUGUUGCUGUGGCUUUGGAGCAGACCGGCAGCUAUAACUCCGAUUAGACCCCUGGCCUGGGAACCUCCAUAUGCCGAGGGUGCGGCCCUAAAAGGACAAAAGACCAAAAAAAAAAAGCUUCCUAAGACUGCAUACACAGUAUGAAACCAUGUUAUAAUAAACAGGCAAAUUAUGCAAUAUACUUAGUAAUACACUGGACAGCAGAAACCAUAUGCUUUGCAAUCCAGUUACUUCCAAUACCCUUAGGAACUCAAAAAAAAAUUAAAACCACAAAUUGGACAUGUAGGUCAAAUAUAGAUGAUGCUGAGCCUUUAAUGACUUGUGAAAUUUUAAAACAGUACUUGAAAGGGUAAUUAUUUUCAUAGAGAUGAGUUAUUUUAAAAAGCUUGUCAAAGACUGAGUAGUAUUCCAUUGUGUAUAUGUACCAUAUCUUCUUAAUCCAGUCGUCUGUCAUUGGACAUCUAGGUUGUUUCCAUGUCUUGGCUGAACCUAUCUACAGAAAAGAAACAGACUCAUGGAUAUGGACAACAGACUUUGGGCGCCAAAAGGGAGGGGGAGGGAGUGGAAUGGACUAGGAGCUUGGGGUUGGUAGAUGCAAACUAUUGCAUUUGGAGUGGAUAAGCAAUGAGAUCCUGCUGUAUAGCAGAGGGAACUAUACAUAGUCACUUGCGAUGGAAUGUGAUGGAGAAUAAUGUGAAAAAAAGAAUGUAUAUAUAUGCAUGACUGGGUCACUUUGCUGUAUAGCAGAAAUUGACAGAACAUUGUAAAU